rnacentral:rRNA from 1 species
CUGGCUCUUUCAGAGUCCGAGUUGUAAUUUGCAGAGGGCGCUUUGGCGUUGGCAGCGGUCCAAGUUCUUUGGAACAGGACGUCACAGAGGGUGAGAAUCCCGUACGUGGUCGCUAUCCUUCGCCGUGUAAAGCCCCUUCGACGAGUCGAGUUGUUUGGGAAUGCAGCUCUAAAUGGGAGGUAAAUUUCUUCUAAAGCUAAAUACUGGCCAGAGACCGAUAGCGCACAAGUAGAGUGAUCGAAAGAUGAAAAGCACUUUGGAAAGAGAGUCAAAUAGCACGUGAAAUUGUUGAAAGGGAAGCGCUUGCAGCCAGACUUGCCUGUAGUUGCUUAUCCGGACUUUUGUCCGGUGCACUCUUCUAUAGGCAGGCCAGCAUCAGUUUGGGCGGUUAGAUAAAGGUCUCUAUCACGUACCUCUCUUCGGGGAGGCCUUAUAGGGGAGACGUCAUGUAACCAGCCUGGACUGAGGUCCGCGCAUCUGCUAGGAUGCUGGCGUAAUGGCUGUAAGCGGCCCGUCUU